GCUCGGCCCGCCAGGCGUGGGCGCCGCUGUGCCCUGGGGCUGGGGUGCAGUCAGGGCGCGCGGCCCACCUCCCUGGGUCAGAGGAAAGGGUCAGGAGCUCCUGUUCAGGCACGCGGAGUGUGUGGUCGCCUGGGUGCCGUGCGGGGUGUUAGCGGCACCCACAGGUGGAGUGUGGUCGCCUGGGUGCCGUGCGGGGUGUUGCGGCACCCACAGGUGGAGUGUGGUCGCCUGGGUGCUGUGCGGGGUGUUGGCGGCACCCACAGGUGGAGUGUGGUCGCCUGGGUGCCGUGCGGGGUGUUGGCGGCACCCACAGGUGGAGUGUGGUCGCCUGGGUGCUGUGCGGGGUGUUAGUGGCACCCACAGGUGGAGUGUGUGGUCGCCUGGGUGCCGUGCGGGGUGUUGGCGGCACCCCCAGGUGGAGUGUGUGGUCGCCUGGGUGCUGUGUGGGGUGUUAGCAGCACCCACAGGUGGAGUGUGGUCGCCUGGGUGCCGUGCGGGGUGUUGGCGGCACCCACAGGUGGAGUGUGUGGUCGCCUGGUGCCAUGCAGGGUGUUAGCAGCACCCCCAGGUGGAGUGUGGUCGCCUGGGUGCCGUGCGGGGUGUUGCGGCACCCACAGGUGGAGUGUGGUCGCCUGGGUGCUGUGCGGGGUGUUGGCGGCACCCACAGGUGGAGUGUGGUCGCCUGGGUGCCGUGCGGGGUGUUGGCGGCACCCACAGGUGGAGUGUGGUCGCCUGGGUGCUGUGCGGGGUGUUAGUGGCACCCACAGGUGGAGUGUGUGGUCGCCUGGGUGCCGUGCGGGGUGUUGGCGGCACCCCCAGGUGGAGUGUGUGGUCGCCUGGGUGCUGUGUGGGGUGUUAGCAGCACCCACAGGUGGAGUGUGGUCGCCUGGGUGCCGUGCGGGGUGUUGGCGGCACCCACAGGUGGAGUGUGUGGUCGCCUGGUGCCAUGCAGGGUGUUAGCAGCACCCCCAGGUGGAGUGUGGUCGCCUGGGUGCCGUGCGGGGUGUUAGCGGCACCCACAGGUGGAGUGUGUGGUCGCCUGGGUGCCGUGCAGAGUGUUAGCGGCACCCACAGGUGGAGUGUGUGGUCGCCUGGGUGCCGUGCGGGGUGUUGGCAGCACCCCCAGGUGGAGUGUGGUCGCCUGGUGCCGUGCGGGGUGUUAGCAGCACCCACAGGUGGAGUGUGUGGUCGCCUGGGUGCCGUGCAGAGUGUUAGCGGCACCCACAGGUGGAGUGUGUGGUCGCCUGGGUGCCGUGCAGGAUUCAGUGGCACCCACAGGUGGAGUGUGGUCGCCUGGGUGCCGUGCAGGAUUCAGUGGCACCCAGCACCGUGGGGUUAGCAUCAGUGCUGACCCUGCCCCGUGUGCACAUGGACUCUGCCAGCAGGGUGCUCUGUCUUUCCUGGAGCUGGACUAGGCGGUCACUGGCUGGUCCACACUCAGGGCCUUACCCUUGGCCCCCUCUCGGCUUUCUGGCCAUGGAGGACACGGAGGGGCCGCCUGCUCUGGUGCCAAGGCCCGGCUGAGUCCUGGGCUGACCGACUGAGGAGGCUGUGGGCAGGGUGUGGGCAGGGCGGGCUCCUGAGGUUGGGGUCUCUGGGGAGAACCUGCCCUGUCCCCUCAAGCUCCUACCACUGCCCUGAGCCUCUGGCCUCUGCUGUCUGUGGCCAUCUUCCCUUGCGUGUCCUCCUUUGGCCAAGGCCCAGGCCCGUGUCUGGGGCUGUCACAGCUGUGCCCGGCCCCGGAGCAGUCAUGGCUGCAGAGGCCUCUCUGCACACGAGGUCUGGUUUGCAGUGGGAGCUGGGGGUGGAAGGUCUGCCCCGGUCUUGGCCCGGCCUGAGAGGGUCCUGUGCUGUCUUUUGCAGUGACCUGGGCUAGAGAGAGGGCCCUGGAGCCAGCCUCCCUCCCUCCCUGGAGCCGUUGGGGCUAGAGACAGCUAUGACCCAGGCGUGGGGCUCCCACCUGCCUGCCCGGGUCAGGCCGUCUCCUGAUGGUGGCACAGGGCAGCUCGGCUCCUCUGGGGUGUCCCCAGGGACAGUGGGUUCCUGGUGGGGCCACUGCUGCGUGUGGGUGCGUGUGGAGGGCCGGGUGCUGCGUGUGGGUACAUGUGGAGGGCCGGGUGCUGCGUGUUGUGUGGGUGCGUGUGGAGGGCCGGGUGCUGUGUGUGGGUGCGUGUGGAGGGCCGGGUGCUGCGUGUGGGUGCGUGUGGAGGGCCGGGUGCUGCGUGUGGGUACGUGUGGAGGGCCGGGUGCUGUGUGUUGGUACGCGUGGAGGACUGGGUGCUGGGUGUUGUGUGGGUGCGUGUGGAGGGUCGGGUGCUGCGUGUGGGUGCGUGUGGAGGGCCGGGUGCUGGGUGUUGUGUGGGUGCGUGUGGAGGGCCGGGUGCUGUGUGUUGUGUGGGUGCGUGUGGAGGGCCGGGUGCUGGGUGUGGGUGCGUGUGGAGGGCCGGGUGCUGCGUGUUGUGUGGGUGCGUGUGGAGGGCCGGGUGCUGCGUGUGGGUGCGUGUGGAGGGCCGGGUGCUGCGUGUGGGUGCGUGUUCAGGGCCGGGUUUGUGCCUGUGGCUGUGCAGGGGCCCUGGAACAGUUUCCCGGGAACAGAACCUGAGUGUGGCCCGGGGAGCAGCCUGCGGGGCCAGGGUCCCAUGUGUCCCCUCCUGAGGCCCCAGGCUCAGUGUGCCCGGUCUCAUGGGCGGCCGC